AUUGGGCCCGACGUCGCAUGCUCCCGGCCGCCAUGGCCGCGGGAUUAGUCGAGGGGCAGCAUGUCCAGCAAUGGAUGAUGGCGACCGGCGGAAGGGUGCGUAACGCGUGAGCAACAUGCCCUAUACAGGGAGAUACACCAGGGAAACUUGGUCUAAUAUCCCAUAGCAUUCAUUGAAGGCAUCUUUAAUGAAUUAAAGCUUCGGUGGUAUAGGAUUGGCUCGCGUGACAUUAGCCAGAUGGUGAGGUAACGGCUCACCAUAGCAAUGAUGUCUAGGGGUUUUGAGAGGAAGGCCCCCCACACUGGGACUGAGACACGGCCCAGACUCCUACGGGAGGCAGCAGUGAGGAAUAUUGGACAAUGGAUGGAAAUCUGAUCCAGCCAUGCCGCGUGCAGGAAGACGGCCUUAUGGGUUGUAAACUGCUUUUAUACGGGAGCAAUAAGGGUUACGAGUAAUCCGAUGAGAGUACUGUAUGAAUAAGGAUCGGCUAACUCCGUGCCAGCAGCCGCGGUAAUACGGAGGAUCCGAGCGUUAUCCGGAAUUAUUGGGUUUAAAGGGUGCGUAGGCGGCUAUUUAAGUCAGCGGUGAAAUUUUGCAGCUUAACUGUAACAGUGCCGUUGAAACUGUUUAGCUAGGAUUUGGUUGCAGUGUGCGGAAUGUGUGGUGUAGCGGUGAAAUGCUUAGAUAUCACACAGAACACCAAUUGCGAAGGCAGCACACUAAGUCAAUAUUGACGCUGAGGCACGAAAGUGUGGGGAUCAAACAGGAUUAGAUACCCUGGUAGUCCACACUGUAAACGAUGAUAACUCGCUGCCGGCGAUACAUUGUCGGUGGCCAAGCGAAAGCAUUAAGUUAUCCACCUGGGGAGUACGACCGCAAGGUUGAAACUCAAAUGAAUUGACGG
rnacentral:rRNA from 1 species